rnacentral:snRNA from 1 species
AUCGCUUCUCGGCCUGUUGGCUAAGAUCAAGUGUAGUAUCUUGGCUUAUUUGUAUUUUUUUUUCUUUCAGUUGUAAUGUUAAUGCUAGUAUCGUGUAAUAGUGAUUUAACAAUCAAGUACUA